CUUCAACCAUUAAGGUUGUGUAAAGUGUUUGAUGGUGUCCGUCACCUCCACCUCCAUUAAGAGUUUUGAGGCCAGAAGCAGCAGUAACUAAUUGUGUGAUACAGCUAUCUAAAUCUGUAUUUAAAACAAGAAUGGCUGUAGAACAGUAAAUGUAGAAUUGGCUAUUUACUUUAAUGCCAUGUCCUAGAUAUUUGAAGGACACUGCUCAGAAUGAGCUGUUAUUUCUGUCUUAUGGUACCAUUUUUUCCAAUUAUACUUCAGGUUUUCUGGAAGAUAUUCUGAAGAGAAUAAUGGUUGCAAGCAAUGAGGAUGAUGGAUCUCACAGGAUUCAAACUGAUAUCUUUAUAAAAAAGAACAUUGUAAAACGUGAAUCUUCUCCAGGAAAUCCAGGAUCCUCAGGCUUCUGGAGUUCCUGCUGUUUCUGCUCAUGUCAUUGUGACAUUUCCCAUGGAAUCCAGCUCUGGACUUCAGGUGUAAGAAAACAUCCUCCUCUGGAUGCCACUUCAGUGAACAAUUUAUUGUGGGGAAAGGAGAGGAGUCAUUGUUCUUCUAAGCUUUACUAUCUGUGACAGUCACUAAACAAUUUUCUUUAGAUAGAGGUGUACAUGUGUGCAGUGAGAAGAACCAGAGACAGCACUGCUGGGCAGAUUUUUUAAUAUAUGUGGUACGAGAUCUAUUGGUAGCUUCUGACUUAUCCU
rnacentral:lncRNA from 1 species